CCAGACUCCUACGGGAGGCAGCAGUGGGGGAUAUUGCACAAUGGGGGAAACCCUGAUGCAGCGACGCCGCGUGGGCGAAGAAGUAUUUCGGUAUGUAAAGCCCUAUCAGCAGGGAAGAAGAAAUGACGGUACCUGAGUAAGAAGCACCGGCUAAAUACGUGCCAGCAGCCGCGGUAAUACGUAUGGUGCAAGCGUUAUCCGGAUUUACUGGGUGUAAAGGGAGCGCAGGCGGCACGGCAAGCCUGAUGUGAAAGCCCGGGGCCCAACCCCGGGACUGCUCUGGAAACUGCGUCGCUGGAGUACGGGAGGGGCAGGCGGAAUUCCUGGUGUAGCGGUGAAAUGCGUAGAUAUCAGGAGGAACACCGGCGGCGAAGGCGGCCUGCUGGACCGUGACUGACGUUGAGGCUCGAGAGCGUGGGGAGCAAACAGGAUUAGAUACCCCGGUAAAC
rnacentral:rRNA from 1 species